rnacentral:rRNA from 1 species
AGGGCACCACCAGGAGUGGAGCCUGCGGCUUAAUUUGACUCAACACGGGAAAACUCACCCGGCCCGGACACUGGAAGGAUUGACAGAUUGAGAGCUCUUUCUUGAUUCAGUGGGUGGUGGUGCAUGGCCGUUCUUAGUUGGUGGAGCGAUUUGUCUGGUUAAUUCCGAUAACGAACGAGACUCUAGCCUACUAAAUAGAUCGUCGGCUUACAAACGCUGAUGAGACUUCUUAGAGGGACAGGCGGCGAUUCAGCCGCACGAAACAGAGCAAUAACAGGUCUGUGAUGCCCUUAGACGUCCGGGGCCGCACGCGCGCUACACUGAAGUGAUCAGCGUGCAUUUUCAGCCUACUCUGCCAAGAGUGGGAAACCCAAUGAACCUUCUUCGUGAUUGGGAUAGGAGAUUGUAAUUAUUCUCCUUGAACGAGGAAUUCCCAGUAAGCGCGAGUCAUAAGCUCGCGUUGAUUACGUCCCUGCCCUUUGUACACACCGCCCGUCGCUACUACCGAUUGAAUGUUUU